rnacentral:rRNA from 1 species
AUUGUGAGCUUGAUGAGUAGGGCGGGACACGUGGUAUCCUGUCUGAAUAUGGGGGGACCAUCCUCCAAGGCUAAAUACUCCUGACUGACCGAUAGUGAACCAGUACCGUGAGGGAAAGGCGAAAAGAACCCCGGCGAGGGGAGUGAAAAAGAACCUGAAACCGUGUACGUACAAGCAGUGGGAGCACGCUUAGGCGUGUGACUGCGUACCUUUUGUAUAAUGGGUCAGCGACUUAUAUUCUGUAGCAAGGUUAACCGAAUAGGGGAGCCGAAGGGAAACCGAGUCUUAACUGGGCGUUAAGUUGCAGGGUAUAGACCCGAAACCCGGUGAUCUAGCCAUGGGCAGGUUGAAGGUUGGGUAACACUAACUGGAGGACCGAACCGACUAAUGUUGAAAAAUUAGCGGAUGACUUGUGGCUGGGGGUGAAAGGCCAAUCAAACCGGGAGAUAGCUGGUUCUCCCCGAAAGCUAUUUAGGUAGCGCCUCGUGAAUUCAUCUCCGGGGGUAGAGCACUGUUUCGGCAAGGGGGUCAUCCCGACUUACCAACCCGAUGCAAACUGCGAAUACCGGAGAAUGUU